rnacentral:rRNA from 1 species
UGCGUAGGCGGUGCGGAAAGUAGGGUGUGAAAGCCCUCGGCUCAACCGAGGAAUAGCGCUCUAAACUACCGUGCUUGAGGGAGAUAGAGGUAAGCGGAACUUCGGGUGGAACGGUGAAAUGUGUUGAUAUCCGAAGGAACACCGGUGGCGAAAGCGGCUUACUGGAUCUUCUCUGACGCUGAGGCACGGAAGCUAGGGUAGCAAAACG